AGAAAUCGUUAAGGGCGUAUGGCGGAUGCCUAGGCUUUCAGAGGCGAAGAAGGACGUGGUAAGCUGCGAAAAGCUACGGGGAUUGGCACACACGAAAUGAUCCGUAGAUAUCCGAAUGGGGCAACCCAGUAAGUUGAAGACUUACUACACCGUAAGGUGAGCGAACCCGGAGAACUGAAACAUCUAAGUACCCGGAGGAAAAGAAAUCGAAGAGAUUCCGUAAGUAGUGGCGAGCGAAAGCGGAUUAGCCCAAAAGUUUAUGUAUGUUUAGUGGAAUGUUUUGGAAAGAACAAUCAUAGAAGGUGAAAAUCCUGUACACGAAAGGCAUAUAUGGAUGAAGAAAGAGUAGGGCGGGACACGUGAAAUCCUGUCUGAAUAUGGGGGGACCAUCCUCCAAGGCUAAAUACUCCUGAAAGACCGAUAGUGAACAAGUACUGUGAAGGAAAGGUGAAAAGCACUUCGAAUAGAAGGGUGAAAGAGAACCUGAAACCGUACGCCUACAAGCGGUCGGAGCAGUUAUAUACUGUGACGGCGUGCCUUUUGCAUAAUGAGCCUACGAGUUAAUUUUACUAGCGAGGUUAAGGUAUUAAGUACUGGAGCCGGAGCGAAAGCGAGUCUGAAUAGGGCGAAUAGUUAGUGGGAUUAGACGCGAAACCUUGUGAUCUACCCAUGGGCAGGUUGAAGCACUGGUAACACAGUGUGGAGGACCGAACCGGUUGACGUUGAAAAGUCUUCGGAUGACCUGUGGGUAGGGGUGAAAGGCCAAUCAAACUGGGAGAUAGCUCGUACUCCCCGAAAUGCAUUUAGGUGCAGCGUUGAUUUAGUUUAUUAGAGGUAGAGCUACUGAUUGGAUGCGGGGGUUUCACCGCCUACCAAUUCCUGACAAACUCCGAAUGCUAAUAAAUAAUGAUCAGCAGUGAGGGCAUGGGUGCUAAGGUCCAUGUCCGAGAGGGAAAGAACCCAGACCAACAGCUAAGGUCCCUAAAUAUAUGCUAAGUUGAAACAACGCGGUUGAACUGCAUUGACAGCUAGGAUGUUGGCUUGGAAGCAGCCAUUCAUUUAAAGAGUGCGUAACAGCUCACUAGUCGAGCGGUUCGGCAUGGAUAAUAAUCGGGCAUAAGCAUAUUACCGAAGCUAUGGCAACGAAAGUUGGGUAGGGGAGCAUUCUAUCGGCGCAGAAGCAUCACUGUGAGGUGAUGUGGAGCUUAUAGAAAAGAAAAUGUAGGCAUAAGUAACGAUAAAGCAGGCGAGAAACCUGCUCACCGAAAGACUAAGGGUUCCUCAGCCAUGCUAAUCAGCUGAGGGUUAGUCGGGACCUAACGCGAACCCGAGAGGGGAAGUGGAUGGACAAUGGGUUAAUAUUCCCAUACUUGCUCACGAAUAAAGGGGACGGUUCAGCUAGACUACUGGAGACUGACGGAAUAGUCAAGACCUAGCCUACGGGCGAAGUUGUUGUAGAGUAACUGGAUCCAAGAAAAGCCGAAGUGAAGCAACCCGUACCAUAAACCGACACAGGUAGUCGAGGAGAGAAUCCUAAGGUGCUCGAGUGAGUCGUGGCUAAGGAACUAGGCAAAAUAGUCUCGUAACUUCGGAAUAAGAGACGCCAACAGCGAUGUUGGCCGCAGUGAAGAGGCCCAGGCGACUGUUUAUCAAAAACACAGGACUCUGCUAAAUCGAAAGAUGCUGUAUAGGGUCUGACACCUGCCCGGUGCUGGAAGGUUAAGGAAGGUGCUUAGCGUAAGCGAAGGCAUUGACUGAAGCCCCAGUAAACGGCGGCCGUAACUAUAACGGUCCUAAGGUAGCGAAAUUCCUUGUCGGGUAAGUUCCGACCUGCACGAAUGGUGUAACGAUCUGGGUACUGUCUCAACCGCGAGCUCGGUGAAAUUGUAGUAUCGGUGAAGAUGCCGAUUACCCGCAACGGGACGAAAAGACCCCGUGAACCUUUACUAUAGCUUUGCAUUGGAUUUGGGUAACAAAUGUGUAGGAUAGGCCGGAGACUGAGAAUCGGGUACGCCAGUAUUCGUGGAGUCGCCGUUGAAAUACGGCCCUUUUGUUAUUUGGGUUCUAACUCGCUGAAGCGAGGACAUUGCAUGGUGGGUAGUUUGACUGGGGUGGUCGCCUCCAAAAGCGUAACGGAGGCUUCUAAAGGUACCCUCAGACCGAUUGGUAACCGGUCGUAGAGUG
rnacentral:rRNA from 1 species